rnacentral:tRNA from 1 species
AGGGGUCAAUGUUCAGUGAUAGAACAUCUGUUUGGCAUGCAGAAGGUCCCAGUUUCAAUCCCUGGUAUCUCUA